rnacentral:rRNA from 1 species
ACGCUGGCGGCGUGGCCCGGCCGCGCUUAACACAUGCAAGUCGAACGAUGAACCGGUGCUUGCACCGGGGAUUAGGCGCGGCUGGCGAACGGGUGAGUAACACGUGAGUAACCUGCCCUGGACUCUGGGAUAACCCCGAGAAAUCGGAGCUAAUACCGGAUAGGACUUCGCACCGCAUGGUGUGGGGUGGAAAGUUUUUCGGUUUGGGAUGGACUCGCGGCCUAUCAGCUUGUUGGUGAGGUAAUGGCUCACCAAGGCGUCGGCCGCGGACGGGUAGCCGGCCUGAGAGGGUGACCGGCCACACUGGGACUGAGACACGGCCCAGAACUCUACGGGAGGCAGCAGUGGGGAAUAUUGCACAAUGGGCGCAAGCCUGAUGCAACGCCGCGUGAGGGAUGACGGCCUUCGGGUUGUAAACCUCUUUUAGUAGGGAAGAAGGGCUUCGGCGCGGCUUGACGGUACCUGCAGAAAAAGCACCGGCUAACUACGUGCCAGCAGCCGCGGUAAUACGUAGGGUGCAAGCGUUGUCCGGAAUUAUUGGGCGUAAAGAGCUCGUAGGCGGUUUGUCGUGCUGUGAAAAACCGAGGCUCAACCUCGCGCCUGCAGUGGGUACGGGCAGACUCGAGUGCGGUAGGGGAGACUGGAAUUCCUGGUGUAGCGGUGGAAUGCGCAGAUAUCAGGAGGGCGCCCAACACCGAUGGCGAAGGCAGGUCUCUGGGCCGUAACUGACGCUGAGGAGCGAAAGCGUGGGGCGAACAGGAUUAGAUACCCCGGUAGUCCACGCCGUAAACGUUGGGCACUAGAUGUGGGGCUCUUUCCACGGGUUCCGGGUCGUUAGUAACGCAUUAAGCGCGCGCGCCCGCCUGGGGAGUACGGCCGCAAGGCUAAAACUCAAAGGAAUUGACGGGGGCCCGCACAAGCGGCGGAGCAUGCGGAUUAAUUCGAUGCAACGCGAAACCUUACCAAGGCUUGACAUAUACGAGAACGCCUCAGAAAGCGCGCUGAGGAACUCUUUGGACACUCGUAUACAGGUGGUGCAUGGUUGUCGUCAGCUCGUGUCGUGAGAUGUUGGGUUAAGUCCCGCAACGAGCGCAACCCUGCCCGUCCUCUGUUGCCAGCACGUCAUGGUGGGAACUCAGGGGAAACUGCCGGGGUCAACUCGGAGGAAGGUGGGGAUGACGUCAAAUGCGCGCAUCAUGCCCCUUAUGUCUUGGGCUUCGCGACGCAUGCUACAAUGGCCGGUACAAAGGUGCGAUGUCGUAAGGCGGAGCGAAUCCCAAAAAGCCGGUCUCAGUUCGGAUUGAGGUCUGCAACUCGACCUCAUGAAGUCGGAGUCGCUAGUAAUCGCAGAUCAGCAACGCUGCGGAAUACGUUCCCGCGCGCGGGCCUUACACCGCCCGUCAAGUCAUGAAAGUCGGUAACACGAAGCCGGUGGCCCAACCCUUGUGGAGGGACUGUCGAAGGUGGGAUCGGUGAUUAGGACUACGCAGUCGUAACAAGGUAGCCGCGGCGCGCGGAAU